UAUUAAAAAAAGAACUUUUAUAUAUAAGAUAGAUACAGAGCAGGAUCCAUCCUUAAGAAGAUAAUAAGCCAUUGAUGUUAAGUUUAUGCCCACUAUAGCAAAAGUGUACCCAUAUUUUGGAUGCCUUGAAUGACUCAGUACAUGGCUCGAUACUUCAGGGUAUUCAGAAGCAAAAAAGAGUAAAUUUUCUAAUCCUAAAAGUCCCAUUCCACGGAAAUCAGUUUUCGGGUCAUCACCCUAAAAGAAAAAUUUGUAUUAAAUAUUUAAACAUAAAUAAAUAAUUUUCAUACCUUA